rnacentral:misc_RNA from 1 species
AGCAGCCGCGGUAAUUCCAGCUCCAAUAGCGUAUAUUAAAGUUGUUGCAGUUAAAAAGCUCGUAGUUGAAUUUCGGGGUUAGUAGGUUGGUCAUGCCUCUGGUAUGUACUGGUCUCACUGAUUCCUCCUUCCUGAUGAGCCGUAAUGCCAUUAAUUUGGUGUUGCGGGGAAUCUGGACUGUUACUUUGAAAAAAUUAGAGUGUUUAAAGCAAGCUAACGCUUGAAUACAUUAGCAUGGAAUAAUGAAAUAGGACGUUCGAUCCUAUUUUGUUGGUUUCUAGGAUUGACGUAAUGAUUAAUAGGGAUAGUUGGGGGCAUUAGUAUUCAAUUGUCAGAGGUGAAAUUCUUGGAUUUAUUGAAGACUAACUACUGCGAAAGCAUUUGCCAAGGAUGUUUUCAUUAAUCAAGAACGAAAGUUAGGGGAUCGAAGACGAUCAGAUACCGUCGUAGUCUUAACCAUAAACUAUGCCGACUAGGGAUCGGAUGAUGUUAAUUUUUUAAUGACUCAUUCGGCGCCUUA